rnacentral:rRNA from 1 species
UACGAAGGGGGCUAGCGUUGCUCGGAAUCACUGGGCGUAAAGCGCACGUAGGCGGACUUUUAAGUCAGGGGUGAAAUCCUGGAGCUCAACUCCAGAACUGCCUUUGAUACUGGAAGUCUUGAGUUCGAGAGAGGUGAGUGGAACUGCGAGUGUAGAGGUGAAAUUCGUAGAUAUUCGCAAGAACACCAGUGGCGAAGGCGGCUCACUGGCUCGAUACUGACGCUGAGGUGCGAAAGCGUGGGGAGCGAACAGG